CGUGUAGGCGGUUUGGCAAGUCGAGUGUGAAAUCCCACGGCUCAACCGUGGAACUGCGCUCGAAACUGCCUUACUUGAGUGCGGGAGAGGGUGUGCGGAAUUCCUGGUGUAGCGGUGGAAUGCGUAGAUAUCAGGAAGAACACCGGUGGCGAAGGCGGCACACUGGCCCAGCACUGACGCUGAGGCGCGAAAGCGUGGGGAGCGAACG
rnacentral:rRNA from 1 species